rnacentral:tRNA from 1 species
GGACAGGUGGCCGAGUGGUUAAAGGCAGCAGACUGUAACUGCUCCGCGCAAGCGUACGCUGGUUCGAAUCCAGCCCUGUCCACCA